rnacentral:rRNA from 1 species
CCUACGGGUGUCAGCAGUCGAGAAUCAUUCACAAUGGGGGAAACCCUGAUGCAGCGACGCCGCGUGGGGGAAUAAAGGUCUUCGGGUUGUAAACCCCUUUCAUGUGGGAGCAAAUUAACAAGAUAGUAACACAAGGGGAAGAGACGGCUAAAUCUUGGCCCGCAACCUCGGUCCUACAGAGGUCGCAAGCGUUGUUCGGAAUCACUUGGCGUAAAGCGUGCGGGGGCUGUGUCGUCAGUCCGGUGUGAAAGGCGCGGGGUCAACCCGCGGACGGCAAAUGAUACUGCGAGACUAGAGUAAGGGAGGGGGAAGCGGAAUUCGCGGUGUAGCAGUGAAAUGCGUAGAUAUCGAGAGGAACACGCGUGGCGAAGGCGGCUUCCUGGACAUUAACUGACGCUGAGGCACGAAGGCCAGGGGAGCGAAAGGGAUUAGAUACCCUUGUAGUC